rnacentral:rRNA from 1 species
CAGCCGCCGCGGGAAAACGUAGGGGGCAAGCGUUGUCCGGAAUCAUUGGGCGUAAAGAGCGUGUAGGCGGCUCGGUAAGUCCGCUGUGAAAGUCCAGGGCUCAACCCUGGAAUGCCGGUGGAAACUGUCGAGCUAGAGUCCGGAAGAGGCGAGUGGAACUCCUGGUGUAGCGGUGAAAUGCGCAGAUAUCAGGAAGAACACCAAUGGCGAAGGCAGCUCGCUGGGACGGUACUGACGCUGAGACGCGAAAGCGUGGGGAGCAAACAGGAUUAGAUACCCGAGUAGUCCCUGUCUCUUAUAC